rnacentral:rRNA from 2 species
UUAGAGUUGUGGAUUCCUGGCUCAGGACGAACGCUGGCGGCGUGCUUAACACAUGCAAGUCGAGCGGUAAGGCCCUUCGGGGUACACGAGCGGCGAACGGGUGAGUAACACGUGAGCAACCUGCCCCUGACUCUGGGAUAAGCGGUGGAAACGCCGUCUAAUACCGGAUACGACCCGCCACCUCAUGGUGGAGGGUGGAAAGUUUUUCGGUCAGGGAUGGGCUCGCGGCCUAUCAGCUUGUUGGUGGGGUAACGGCCUACCAAGGCGAUUACGGGUAGCCGGCCUGAGAGGGCGACCGGCCACACUGGGACUGAGACACGGCCCAGACUCCUGCGGGAGGCAGCAGUGGGGAAUAUUGCGCAAUGGGCGAAAGCCUGACGCAGCGACGCCGCGUGGGGGAUGACGGCCUUCGGGUUGUAAACCUCUUUUACCACCAACGCAGGCUUCCAGUUCUCUGGAGGUUGACGGUAGGUGGGGAAUAAGGACCGGCUAACUACGUGCCAGCAGCCGCGGUAAUACGUAGGGUCCGAGCGUUGUCCGGAAUUAUUGGGCGUAAAGAGCUCGUAGGCGGCGUGUCGCGUCUGCUGUGAAAGACCGGGGCUUAACUCCGGUUCUGCAGUGGAUACGGGCAUGCUAGAGGUAGGUAGGGGAGACUGGAAUUCCUGGUGUAGCGGUGAAAUGCGCAGAUAUCAGGAGGAACACCGGUGGCGAAGGCGGGUCUCUGGGCCUUACCUGACGCUGAGGAGCGAAAGCAUGGGGAGCGAACAGGAUUAGAUACCCUGGUAGUCCAUGCCGUAAACGUUGGGCGCUAGGUGUGGGGACUUUCCACGGUUUCCGCGCCGUAGCUAACGCAUUAAGCGCCCCGCCUGGGGAGUACGGCCGCAAGGCUAAAACUCAAAGGAAUUGACGGGGGCCCGCACAAGCGGCGGAGCAUGUUGCUUAAUUCGACGCAACGCGAAGAACCUUACCAAGGUUUGACAUCACCCGUGGACUCAGCAGAGAUGUGAGGUCAUUUAGUUGGCCGGCUGACAGGU